rnacentral:rRNA from 1 species
GAUGAACGCUGGCGGCGUGCCUAAUACAUGCAAGUCGAGCGAACGGACGGGAAGCUUGCUUCUCUGAUGUUAGCGGCGGACGGGUGAGUAACACGUGGAUAACCUACCUAUAAGACUGGGAUAACUUCGGGAAACCGUAGCUAAUACCGGAUAAUAUUUUGAACCGCAUGGUUCAAAAGUGAAAGACGGUCUUGCUGUCACUUAUAGAUGGAUCCGCGCUGCAUUAGCUAGUUGGUAAGGUAACGGCUUACCAAGGCAACGAUGCAUAGCCGACCUGAGAGGGUGAUCGGCCACACUGGAACUGAGACACGGUCCAGACUCCUACGGGAGGCAGCAGUAGGGAAUCUUCCGCAAAGGGCGAAAGCCUGACGGAGCAACGCCGCGUGAGUGAUGAAGGUCUUCGGAUCGUAAAACUCUGUUAUUAGGGAAGAACAUAUGUGUAAGUAACUGUGCACAUCUUGACGGUACCUAAUCAGAAAGCCACGGCUAACUACGUG